GACGAACGCUGACGGCGUGCUUAACACAUGCAAGUCGAACGGAAAGGCCCUGCUUUUGUGGGGUGCUCGAGUGGCGAACGGGUGAGUAACACGUGAGUAACCUGCCCUUGACUUUGGGAUAACUUCAGGAAACUGGGGCUAAUACUGGAUAGGAGCUCCUGCUGCAUGGUGGGGGUUGGAAAGUUUCGGCGGUUGGGGAUGGACUCGCGGCUUAUCAGCUUGUUGGUGGGGUAGUGGCUUACCAAGGCUUUGACGGGUAGCCGGCCUGAGAGGGUGACCGGCCACAUUGGGACUGAGAUACGGCCCAGACUCCUACGGGAGGCAGCAGUGGGGAAUAUUGCACAAUGGGCGGAAGCCUGAUGCAGCAACGCCGCGUGCGGGAUGACGGCCUUCGGGUUGUAAACCGCUUUCGCCUGUGACGAAGCGUGAGUGACGGUAAUGGGUAAAGAAGCACCGGCUAACUACGUG
rnacentral:rRNA from 1 species